rnacentral:rRNA from 1 species
GAUGAACGCUGACAGAAUGCUUAAUACAUGCAAAUCGAACGAAGCCUUUUGGCUUAGUGGUGAACGGGUGAGUAACACGUAUCCAAUCUACCCUUAAGUUUGGGAUAACUAGUCGAAAGAUUGGCUAAUACCGGAUAAUAGCAUUCACUUGCAUGAGUGAAUGUGGAAAGUUGCGUUUGCAACGCUUUUGGAUGAGGGUGCGACGUAUCAGAUAGUUGGUGAGGUAACGGCUCACCAAGUCAUUGACGCGUAGCUGUACUGAGAGGUAGAACAGCCACAAUGGGACUGAGACACGGCCCAU